AACGAACGCUGGCGGCAUGCCUAACACAUGCAAGUCGAACGAGACCUUCCGGUCUAGUGGCGCACGGGUGCGUAACGCGUUGUAACCUGCCCUUACGUUCGGAAUCACUCCCCGAAAGGUGUGCUAAUACCGGUUAAUGUCUUCGGACCAAAGAUUUAUCGCCUUUGUAUGGGCCCGCGUUGGAUUAGCUGGUUGGUAGGGUAAAAGCCUACCAAGGCGACGAUCCAUAGCUGGUCGGAGAGGAUGAUCAGCCACACUGGGACUGAGACACGGCCCAGACUGGGACGGGAGGCAGCAGUAGAGAAGAGUGGAGAAUGAGCGAAAGCCUGAUCAAGCAAUGCGGCGUGAGUGAUGAAGGCCGUAGGGAUGUAAAGCUAUUUGACCCGGGAUGAUAAUGACAGUACCGGGAGAAUAAGCUCCGGCUAACUCCGUG
rnacentral:rRNA from 1 species